rnacentral:rRNA from 1 species
AUUGAACGCUGGCGGCAUGCCUUACACAUGCAAGUCGAACGGCAGCACGGGUGCUUGCACCUGGUGGCGAGUGGCGAACGGGUGAGUAAUAUAUCGGAACAUACCCUAGAGUGGGGGAUAACGUAGCGAAAGUUACGCUAAUACCGCAUACGAACUAAGGUUGAAAGUGGGGGAUCGCCAGACCUCAUGCUCAUGGAGUGGCCGAUAUCUGAUUAGCUAGUUGGUGAGGUAAAGGCUCACCAAGGCGACGAUCAGUAGCUGGUUUGAGAGAACGACCAGCCACACUGGAACUGAGACACGGUCCAGACUCCUACGGGAGGCAGCAGUGGGGAAUUUUGGACAAUGGGAGCAACCCUGAUCCAGCAAUGCCGCGUGAGUGAAGAAGGCCCUCGGGUUGUAAAGCUCUUUUGUCAGGGAAGAAACGGUCUACUCUAAUACAGUGGGCUAAUGACGGUACCUGAAGAAUAAGCACCGGCUAACUACGUGCCAGCAGCCGCCGUAA